GCAGGUGUCCUAAGAUGAGCUC
rnacentral:ncRNA from 2 species